UACAGAGGGGGCGAGCGUUGUUCGGAAUUACUGGGCGUAAAGGGCGCGUAGGCGGCCUGCUAAGUCAGACGUGAAAUCCCUCGGCUCAACCGGGGAACUGCGUCCGAUACUGGCGGGCUUGAAUCCGGGAGAGGAAUGCGGAAUUCCAGGUGUAGCGGUGAAAUGCGUAGAUAUCUGGAGGAACACCGGUGGCGAAGGCGGCAUUCUGGACCGGCAUUGACGCUGAUGCGCGAAAGCCAGGGGAGCAAACGGG
rnacentral:rRNA from 1 species